rnacentral:lncRNA from 10 species
AUUUUUGCAGAGAUGCGUCUCCACCCAAAGGUCCUAGGUACCUUUGAGCAAUUGUGAAAGCCAUAACCCCUCACCCCGAAAUGACCUGUCCUCAUGCAUAUAGAAUCUUACAAUCACAGGGGUUAUGGAUCCUAUUUAGAGCCUAUAUUGAAAUCUUGAGGACGUCAGUAGUUCUCUAGAAUCCCUGUUCCAGGCGCCUCUGUUCCUGAGCAGUGUUAUGUGAACAGUGUCCUCUGUCUGUGGCUCUGUGUCCUGGCUGAGAAAGGCAGCGCUGCCUUCAGGGAACUGGGCCCAUUGCUGGGAGUCAGAGCCUUACGUGCUCACUGUGCCCCACGUGGCUUAGACAGUACCGGCUACAGCCCUUAUCCCGACUCCACGGGUGUGAGCACAGAGGCUGAGUCACCUGCCCGAAGCAGCACAGCGAGGAGGAAGAGUAUCCUGAGUAAGAGGGAAGCUGCAUGUGGAUCACGGGGAAGUUGCUCUGCCCUCACAUCAGCUCCUCAUGUGUACAGCUCCAGAUGGGUGGGUGUUGUCGGAGAAUUGCUCAUAGGAAGCUACAGUUCCUUCUCCACAGUCU